rnacentral:tRNA from 1 species
GGGCCCGUAGCGCAGCCUGGAACCUUUCUUAGGAAGAAAUGUUCACGAAAGAAGGUGGGCUAAUAGCGCAUCUGCCUUCUAAGCAGAGGGUCGCGAGUUCAAAUCUCGUCGGGCCCGCCA